GACGAACGCUGGCGGCGUGCCUAAUACAUGCAAGUCGAACGCAUUUUCUUUCACCGUAGCUUGCUACACCGAAAGAAAAUGAGUGGCGAACGGGUGAGUAACACGUGGGUAACCUGCCCAUCAGCGGGGGAUAACACUUGGAAACAGGUGCUAAUACCGCAUAAUUCCAUUUACUGCAUGGUAGAUGGAUGAAAGGCGCUUUUGCGUCACUGAUGGAUGGACCCGCGGUGCAUUAGCUAGUUGGUGGGGUAACGGCCUACCAAGGCUGCGAUGCAUAGCCGACCUGAGAGGGUGAUCGGCCACACUGGGACUGAGACACGGCCCAGACUCCUACGGGAGGCGGCAGUAGGGAAUCUUCGGCAAUAGACGCAAGUCUGACCGAGCAACGCCGCGUGAGUGAAGAAGGUUUUCGGAUCGUAAAACUCUGUUGUUAGAAAAGAACAAGGAUGAGAGUGGAAAGUUCAUCCCUUGACGGUAUCUAACCAGAAAGCCACGGCUAACUACGUG
rnacentral:rRNA from 1 species